rnacentral:rRNA from 1 species
GAUCAACGCUGGCGGCGUGCCUCAGACAUGCAAGUCGAACGCGAAAGUUCCCUUCGGGGAAUAAGUAGAGUGGCGCACGGGUGAGUAACACGUAGGUAAUCUACCUUUGGGUGGGGAAUAACAGCCGGAAACGGCUGCUAAUACCGCAUAAUGCAGCGGCUCGACAUCGAGACAGUUGUUAAAGCGGGGGAUCGCAAGACCUCGCGCCUAAAGAGGAGCCUGCGGCGGAUUAGCUUGUUGGUGAGGUAAUGGCUCACCAAGGCAUCGAUCCGUAGCCGGCCUGAGAGGGCGGUCGGCCACACUGACACUGACAUACGGGUCAG